AAACUUGAGAGUUUGAUCCUGGCUCAGAACGAACGCUGGCGGCAUGCCUAACACAUGCAAGUCGAACGAACCCUUCGGGGUUAGUGGCGCACGGGUGCGUAACGCGUGGGAACCUGCCUUUAGGUUCGGAAUAACUCAGAGAAAUUUGAGCUAAUACCGGAUAAUGUCUUCGGACCAAAGAUUUAUCGCCUUUAGAUGGGCCCGCGUUAGAUUAGAUAGUUGGUGGGGUAAUGGCCUACCAAGUCGACGAUCUAUAGCUGGUCUGAGAGGAUGAUCAGCCACACUGGGACUGAGACACGGCCCAGACUCCUACGGGAGGCAGCAGUGGGGAAUAUUGGACAAUGGGCGAAAGCCUGAUCCAGCAAUGCCGCGUGAGUGAUGAAGGCCUUAGGGUUGUAAAGCUCUUUUACCAGGGAUGAUAAUGACAGUACCUGGAGAUAGCUCCGGCUACUCCGUGCCAGCAGCCGCGGUAAUA
rnacentral:ncRNA from 1 species